rnacentral:rRNA from 1 species
GACGAACGCUGGCGGCGUGCUUAACACAUGCAAGUCGAGCGGUAAGGCCCUUUCGGGGGUACACGAGCGGCGAACGGGUGAGUAACACGUGGGUGACCUGCCCUUAGCUCUGGGAUAAGCCUGGGAAACUGGGUCUAAUACCGGAUAUGACUCCAUAACGCAUGUUGUGGGGUGGAAAGCCUUGUGCGGCUAGGGAUGGGCCCGCGGCCUAUCAGCUUGUUGGUGGGGUGAUGGCCACCAAGGCGACGACGGGUAGCCGGCCUGAGAGGGCGACCGGCCACACUGGGACUGAGACACGGCCCAGACUCCUACGGGAGGCAGCAGUGGGGAAUCUUGCGCAAUGGGCGAAAGCCUGACGCAGCGACGCCGCGUGGGGAUGACGC